rnacentral:rRNA from 2 species
ACUUACCUGGGUUUGACAUAUACCGGAACGCCUAGAGAUAGGUGCCCCCUUGUGGUCGGUAUACAGGUGGUGCAUGGCUGUCGUCAGCUCGUGUCGUGAGAUGUUGGGUUAAGUCCCGCAACGAGCGCAACCCUUGUCCUGUGUUGCCAGCGCGUAAUGGCGGGGACUCGCAGGAGACUGCCGGGGUCAACUCGGAGGAAGGUGGGGAUGACGUCAAGUCAUCAUGCCCCUUAUGUCCAGGGCUUCACACAUGCUACAAUGGCCGGUACAGAGGGCUGCGAUACCGUGAGGUGGAGCGAAUCCCUUAAAGCCGGUCUCAGUUCGGAUCGGGGUCUGCAACUCGACCCCGUGAAGUCGGAGUCGCUAGUAAUCGCAGAUCAGCAACGCUGCGGUGAAUACGUUCCCGGGCCUUGUACACACCGCCCGUAA